AUGUUUAUUCGAGCUGUUUGGAUAGAAAAUACAGAGAAAUAAAGAGAGAAAAUUCGCUUGAUAAUUUUUUGUGCUGGCCAUCAUUAAAUGUAAUAAAUUGUUUCAAUGAAAUGCAUAAACCGCAUCUAACGAACAGAGAUUUACGCUGCUCAAAAUUAAAUGUCAUGGAGAUAAUGAGCCACUACCAUGCUUAUGCAAGAGAAAACAUAAUAACCAACAGAAUAGUAAGCAAAUACCUACUCCUGUAACGCAAAAAAAGAAACAGAAAACAAUUUUUAUGCAUACUCCACAUACUGUAGCUCAAGGUUAACAAACUUUCCUAAAUUGGAAGUAAAACCAUUGAGACAAAUACAAAUAAAUGUGAUGCAAAGGUUUGUUAAAAGUAGUUUUAAAUAAAAAAUCUUUUGAAUCUUUUUAUUAUAGUUUGUUUUAAACUUGUGUUAAAAAUAUGUGUAGCAUAUA